rnacentral:rRNA from 1 species
CAGCCGCCGCGGUAAAACGAAGGGUGCAAGCGUUAAUCGGAAUUACUGGGCGUAAAGCGUGCGUAGGCGGUGAGUUAAGUCUGCUGUGAAAUCCCCGGGCUCAACCUGGGAAUGGCAGUGGAUACUGGCUCGCUAGAGUGUGUCAGAGGAUGGUGGAAUUCCCGGUGUAGCGGUGAAAUGCGUAGAGAUCGGGAGGAACAUCAGUGGCGGAGGCGGCCAUCUGGGACAACACUGACGCUGAGGCACGAAAGCGUGGUGAGCAAACAGGAUUAGAUACCCCCGUAGUCCCUGUCUCUUAUAC